rnacentral:rRNA from 1 species
UUCUGGUUGAUCCUGCCGGAGGCUACCGCUAUUGGAGUUCGAUUAAGCCAUGCGAGUCGAGAGUCUUAGGGACUCGGCGUACCGUUCAGUAACACGUGGGUAACCUGCCCUAUGCUGGGGAAUAACCUCGGGAAACUGAGAAUAAUACCCCAUAGUUCACCACGCCUGGAACGGUGGGUGGAUGAAAGCUCCGGCGGCAUAGGAUGGGCCUGCGACGUAUCAGGUUGUAGGGGGUGUAACGUACCCUCUAGCCAUCAACGCGUACGGGUGUUGGGAGACAUAGCCCGGAGAUGGAUUCUGAGACACGAAUCCAGACCCUACGGGGUGCAGCAGGCGCGAAAACUUGGCAAUGCGAGCAAUCGUGACCAGGGAACUCCAAGUGGCUGGGGUAAUACCCAGUUUUUUCUUGACUCUUCAAAGGUCUUGGAAUAAGGGGUGGGUAAGGACGGUGCCAGCCGCCGCGGUAAUACCGGCGCCUCAAGUGGUAGUCGCUUUUAUUGGGCCUAAAACGUCCGUAGCCGGUCUGGUGCAUUCGUGGGUAAAUCAACCCGCUCAACGGGUUGAAUUCUGCGAGCACGGCCAGACUUGGGACCGGGAGAGGUGUGGGGUACUCUCAGGGUAGGGGUAAAAUCCUGUCAUCCUGAGAGGAC